rnacentral:rRNA from 1 species
AGUGAACGCUGGCGGUAGGCCUAACACAUGCAAGUCGAACGGCAGCACAGUAAGAGCUUGCUCUUACGGGUGGCGAGUGGCGGACGGGUGAGGAAUACAUCGGAAUCUACUUUUUCGUGGGGGAUAACGUAGGGAAACUUACGCUAAUACCGCAUACGACCUACGGGUGAAAGCAGGGGAUCCUCGGACCUUGCGCGAUUGAAUGAGCCGAUGUCGGAUUAGCUAGUUGGCGGGGUAAAGGCCCACCAAGGCGACGAUCCGUAGCUGGUCUGAGAGGAUGAUCAGCCACACUGGAACUGAGACACGGUCCAGACUCCUACGGGAGGCAGCAGUGGGGAAUAUUGGACAAUGGGCGCAAGCCUGAUCCAGCCAUACCGCGUGGGUGAAGAAGGCCUUCGGGUUGUAAAGCCCUCUUGUUGGGAAAGAAAAGCAGCAGGUUAAUACCCCGCUGUUCUGACGGUACCCAAAGAAUAAGCACCGGCUAACUUCGUG